GGGCAGCAGUGAGGAAUUUUCCACAAUGGGCGAAAGCCUGAUGGAGCGACGCCGUGUGAGUGAUGAAGUCCUUCGGGAUGUAAAACUCUGUCAGAGGGGAGAAUAUUGAUAGUACCCUCAGAGGAAGCCCCGGCUAACUACGUGCCAGCAGCCGCGGUAAUACGUAGGGGGCGAGCGUUGUCCGGAAUUACUGGGCGUAAAGCGUGCGUAGGUGGUUUGGUAAGUCAUAUGUAAAAGAUUGCGGCUCAACCGUAAUAUGCAUAUGAUACUGCCCGACUAGAGAGAUGCAGAGGAAAGCGGAACUUACGGUGUAGCGGUGAAAUGCGUAGAUAUCGUAAGGAACACCAGUGGCGAAGGCGGCUUUCUGGGCAUUUUCUGACACUGAGGCACGAAAGCUAGGGGAGCAAACGGGAUUAGAUACCCGGGUAGUC
rnacentral:rRNA from 1 species